ensembl:snRNA U5 U5 spliceosomal RNA
AAGCUCAGGUUUCUCUUCAUUCAUGCACAAAUCUUUCACCUUUUACUAAAGAUUUCCGUGGAGGGGAACGUUGAACGUUCUUAUUUUUGAAGGUGCUGCUAUGGCAGCACU